GAUGAACGCUGGCGGCGUGCUUAACACAUGCAAGUCGAACGGAAAGGCUCCUGCUUGCAGGGGUACUCGAGUGGCGAACGGGUGAGUAACACGUGGGUGAUCUGCCCUGCACUUCGGGAUAAGCCUGGGAAACUGGGUCUAAUACCGGAUAGGACGAUGGUUUGGAUGCCAUUGUGGAAAGUUUUUUCGGUGUGGGAUGAGCUCGCGGCCUAUCAGCUUGUUGGUUGGGUAAUGGCCUACCAAGGCGUCGGCGGGUAGCCGGCCUGAGAGGGUGUACGGCCACAUGAGGACUGAGAUACGGCCCAGACCCGUACGGGAGGCAGCAGUGGGGAAUAUUGGACAAUGGGGGCAAGCCUGAUGCAGCGACGCCGCGUGGGGGAUGACGGCCUUCGGGUUGUAGACUCCUUUCGCUAGGGACGAAGCGCAAGUGACGGUACCUGGAGAAGAAGCACCGGCUAACUACGUG
rnacentral:rRNA from 1 species